GUAGGUGAACCUGCGGAGGGAUCAUUACAGAGAACAUCGCCCGCGAGGGUGACUCUCCAACCCUAUGUUAAUUAUACCUUUGUUGCUUUGGCGAGCCGCUCCGGCCACCGGCUUCUAGCUGGUGAGUGCUCGCCAGAGAAAACCAAAACUCUUUUUAUUAAUGUCGUCUGAGUACUAUAUAAUAGUUAAAACUUUCAACAACGGAUCUCUUGGUUCUG
rnacentral:misc_RNA from 1 species